AGUGGAUGGGGAGCAACCUAGUUGUGCGUGUGUAAAGGUAGUGCCAAGAAAAGCGAUGAUCAUGUUGAAAAUCAAUUCCCGGUACCCGAAACCGACACAGGUGGGCAAGUAGAGAAUACUAAGGGGCGCGAUGUAACUCUCUCCAAGGAACUCGGCAAAAUGACCCCGUAACUUAGGGAGAAGGGGUGCCACCGAGAGGUGGUCGCAGUGAAGAGGCCCAGGCGACUGUUUAGCAAAAACAUAGGUCUCUGCAAACUCGAAAGAGGAGGUAUAGGGGCUGACGCCUGCCCAGUGCCGGAAGGUUAAAGAAGUUGGUCAGUCUUAGGAUGAAGCUAGCGACUGAAGCCCCGGUGAACGGCGGCCGUAACUAUAACGGUCCUAAGGUAGCGGAAUUCCUUGUCGGGUAAGUUCCGACCCGCACGAAAGGCGUAACGAUCUGGGCGCUGUCUCGGAGAGAGGCUCGGCGAAAUAGGAUUGUCUGUGAAGAUACGGACUACCUGCAUUUGGACAGAAAGACCCUAUGAAGCUUUACUAUAGCUUGGAAUUGUGUUCGGGCUUCCUGUGCGCAGGAUAGGUGGGAGGCGUAGAAGGUAUUCUUGUGGGGAUACUGGAGCCAACGGUGAGAUACCACUCUCAGGAGGCUAGAAUUCUAACUUAAUUAAGGACAGUUUCAGGUGGGUAGUUUGACUGGGGCGGUCGCCUCCAAAAAGGUAACGGAGGCGUACAAAGGUUCCCUCAGACUGGUUGGAAAUCAGUCGAAGAGUGCAAAGGCAGAAGGGAGCUUGACUGCGAGAAGUACAGUUCGAGCAGGGUGGAAACACGGUCUUAGUGAUCCGACGGUGCUGUGUGGAAGGGCCGUCGCUCAACGGAUAAAAGUUACUCUAGGAUAACAGGCUGAUCUCCCCCAAGAGUUCACAUCGACGGGGAGGUUUGGCACCUCGAUGUCGGCUCAUCGCAACCUGGGGCGGAAGUACGUCCCAAGGGUUGGGCUGUUCGCCCAUUAAAGCGGUACGUGAGCUGGGUUCAGAACGUCGUGAGACAGUUCGGUCCAUAUCCGAUGUAGGCGUGAGAAUAUUGAGAGGAGCCUUCCUUAGUACGAGAGGACCGGGAAGGACGCACCGCUGGUGUACCUGUUAUGAUGCCAAUUGUAAACGCAGGGUAGCCAAGUGCGGAGAGGAUAACCGCUGAAAGCAUCUAAGUGGGAAGCCCACCUCAAGAUGAGUAUUCUGGUGUAAGGUCACGGGAAGACGACCCGUAAAUAGGCACGAGGUGGAAGUGCAGAGAUGUAUGAAGCCGAAGUGUACUAAUAGACCGUCGGCUUGACC
rnacentral:rRNA from 1 species